GGGAAUGUAGCUUAAUGGUAGAGUGCAUGCCUAACAUACAUGAAGCCCUGGGUUCAAUUCCUCAGUACCA
rnacentral:tRNA from 1 species